GCUCGGGGAGGUAGUGACGAAAAAUAACAAUACGAGACUCAUCCGAGGCUCCGUAAUUGGAAUGGGUACACUUUAAAUCCUUUAACGAGGAUCUAUUGGAGGGCAAGUCUGGUGCCAGCAGCCGCGGUAAUUCCAGCCCCAAUAGCGUAUAUUAAAGUUGCUGCGGUUAAAAAGCUCGUAGUUGGAUCUCAGUCUCGGUCGGACGGUCCAUUUCACGGUGGUACUGUUCGAAUCGGACAUUUGGCCGCCUUUCUCAGUAUGCUCUUCACUGAGUGUAUUGGGAGAGUGGCACGUUUACUUUGAAAAAAUUAGAGUGCUCAAAGCAGGCAAUUGCCUGAAUCUUCGUGCAUGGAAUGAUGGAAUAGGGCCUCGGUUCUAUUUUGUUGGCUUCCGGAACUCGAGGUAAUGAUUAAGAGGGACGGACGGGGGCAUUCGUAUUGCGACGUUAGUGGUGAAAUUCUUAGAUCGUCGCAAGACGAACUACUGCGAAAGCAUUUGCCAAGAAUGUUUUCAUUAAUCAAGAACGAAAGUCAGAGGUUCGAAGGCGAUCAGAUACCGCCCUAGUUCUGACCUUAAACGAUGCUAUCUGGCGAUCCGUCGGUGUUAAUUCCAAUGACCCGACGGGCAGCUUCCGGGAAACCAAAGUGUUCAAGUUCCGGGGGAAGUAUGGUUGCAAAACUGGAACUUAAAGGAAUUGACGGAAGGGCACCACCAGGAGUGGAGCCUGUGGCUUAAUUUGACCCAACACGGGAAAUCUCACCAGGCCCGGACACUGGCAGGAUUGACAGAUUGAUAGCUCUUUCUUGAUUCAGUGGGUGGUGGUGCAUGGCCGUUCUUAGUUGGUGGAGUGAUUUGUCUGGUUAAUUCCGAUAACGAACGAGACCCCGUCCUACUUACUAGACCGAGGAUUCUUUUGUCCUCAGAAUCUUCUUAGAGGGACAACUGGCGUUUAUCUAGCUACAUGAAAUGGGGCAAUAACAGGUCUGUGAUGCCCUUAGAUGUUCUGGGCCGCACACGCGCUACACUGAAGGGAUCAUCGUGUUUGUCCUAGCCUGAAAAGGCCGGGAAAUCCGUUGAAAUCUCUUCGUGCUAGGGAUUGAGGCUUGCAAUUUUUUCUCAUGAACGAGGAAUUCCCAGUAAGUGCGAGUCAUAAGCUCGCGCUGAUUACGUCCCUGCCCUUUGUACACACCGCCCGUCGCUACUACCGAUUGGAUGAUUUAGUGAGGCCUUCGGACUGGCUGCUAGUGGGGCACUUGUGUCCUGCUGGUGGAUCGGGAAGAUGUUCAAACUGUAUCAUCUAGAGGAAGUAAAAGUCGAA
rnacentral:rRNA from 1 species